ACCUAAGGUUUCCUGAGGAAGGUUCGUCCGCUCAGGGUUAGUCGGGACCUAAGCCGAGGCCGAAAGGCGUAGGUGAUGGACAAUCGGUUGAUAUUCCGAUACCGCCAACUGACGUUAUUACAAAUGGGAUGACGCAGGAGGAUAGGAUGUGCGCACUAUUGGAUGUGCGUCUAAGCACUUAGUCAGGUCAGACAGGCAAAUCCGUCUGAUCAAUGAUGAGGUGUCAUGGGGAGCGAAAUUAUCGUCGCGAAGUAUCCGAUUCCACGCUGCCGAGAAAAGUCUCUAUGGAGGAAGUUGGUGCCCGUACCGCAAACCGACACAGGUAGGUGAGGAGAGAAUCCUAAGACCAUCGGAAGAAUUGUUGUUAAGGAACUCGGCAAAUUAACCCCGUAACUUCGGGAGAAGGGGUGCCAUGGAAACAUGGUCGCAGUGAAUAGGCCCAAGCAACUGUUUAUCAAAAACACAGGUCUCUGCUAAAGCGAAAGCUGAAGUAUAGGGGCUGACGCCUGCCCGGUGCUGGAAGGUUAAGGGGAUCCGUUAACGUAAGUGAAGCGGUGAACUUAAGCCCCAGUAAACGGCGGCCGUAACUAUAACGGUCCUAAGGUAGCGAAAUUCCUUGUCGGGUAAGUUCCGACCCGCACGAAUGGCGUAAUGACUUGGGCACUGUCUCGACAACAAAUCCGGCGAAAUUGUAGUGCAAGUGAAGAUGCUUGCUACCCGCGAUUGGACGGAAAGACCCCGUAGAGCUUUACUGUAGCUUAGCAUUGAGUUUCGGUAUUGUCUGUACAGGAUAGGUGGGAGACUGCGAAGCAGGGGCGUCAGCUUCUGUGGAGUCACCCUUGGGAUACCACCCUGACAGUACUGAGAUUCUAACCGGUGGCCAUGAAACUGGUCACGGGACAUUGUUAGGUGGGCAGUUUGACUGGGGCGGUCGCCUCCUAAAAUGUAACGGAGGCGCCCAAAAGUUCCCUCAGUGCGGUUGGAAAUCGCGCGAAGAGUGCAAAGGCAGAAGGGAGCUUGACUGCGACACAUACAAGUGGAGCAGGGACGAAAGUCGGGCUUAGUGAUCCGGUGGUUCCUCGUGGGAGGGCCAUCGCUCAACGGAUAAAAGCUACCUCGGGGAUAACAGGCU
rnacentral:rRNA from 1 species